GAUGAACGCUAGCUACAGGCUUAACACAUGCAAGUCGAGGGGAAACGAUAGAGAAAGCUUGCUUUUUCUAGGCGUCGACCGGCGCACGGGCGAGUAACGCGUAUCCAACCUGCCCACCACUUGGGGAUAACCUUGCGAAAGUAAGACUAAUACCCAAUGAUAUCUCAAGAAGACAUCUGAAUGAGAUUAAAGAUUUACCGGUGAUGGAUGGGGAUGCGUCUGAUUAGCUGGUUGGCGGGGUAACGGCCAACCAAGGCGACGAUCAGUAGGGGUGCUGAGAGGAAGGUCCCCCACAUUGGAACUGAGACACGGUCCAAACUCCUACGGGGGGCAGCAGUGAGGAGUAUUGGUCAAUGGGCGAGAGCCUGAACCAGCCAAGUAGCGUGCAGGAUGACGGCCCUAUGGGUUGUAAACUGCUUUUAUAAGGGAAUAAAGUGAGUCUCGUGAGGCUUUUUGCAUGUACCUUAUGAAUAAGGACCGGCUAAUUCCGUGCCAGCCGCCGCAGUAA
rnacentral:rRNA from 1 species